ensembl:lncRNA
AUCUCCUGGUGAAGCAGGACGUCGUGGCUAAAAUGGCCAACCAACCUCUGUUCAAAAAUCUCCAGGGAAUGAGGUUCUACCCGUUGGUUUUACAAGAUUCAGGAAAUGAUGGCUGCGUGGAAGGGAGACAGGAGAUGCCUGGCUUGAAAAGCUUUUAGCUUUAUUAGAAGCAAGGAUGUGAGAUGAAAGGCUGUUUAUUACACUUUGCUAGGUACGUUUCUCUCACUCUCCGUCACCACUUGUCGUUAGGCAGCAAAAUCUCCAUUUAUAAUGGGAACACUCCUCGGUGUCGCUGGAAACUAUGCAUCUUCCAUCCCACAAAACAGUCCAAUCUGGUCACAGAAAUUCGCCAUUAACAGGUGGUGGAGUUUCUGAGAAGCAGCUACAAUGGAUCCAGUUCUGGCUGCUAUCUGGGAAGUAAUCUUUGCGGCUCUCCUCUGCCUUGGAGAAGCAGGUCCCAUAAUGGCUGGAGGAACUCCUAAGAUACAGCCAAAAAUAUCACAGCUAAGGAUUUUUGAAAUGAAGAUAAUCCCCCCAGCCAGUGCUGAUGAAGAGGCUUCUACAAACCUCAGAACCACACCAUGCACCAAUUCUAAGGAAUAUACAAUCGCAUUCACUGCAACAAUUACAACACCUGAUGAAGCUUCUCACACACCUAUAGCUACUGUUAAAAUAUGUUCCACCAUUACUCUUAAAGUCACCAUUGGUGAUGCUCCGUCCGCCACUGGACUGGAAGGUCCUGUUUCAGGAGAUGCUCCUGCCACCUUCACAACCAGUCCUGGUGUUCCAUCAAAUGCUUACGAAGAUGUGAGUAAAAAUGCUGUCCAACGUAUUAUGGACACUGUUUCUGCAAAGACUCAUUCUGCUAUGUCCUCAGCUACAGUGGGUCCUGAGGGUGUGACGACUCAAAACAAAUUCUCGGCUACUGAAGCAGAAAGAGAUUCCAGCUUUCUUCAGGAACUCUACUCUGACACAGAGGAUGCCAGCUUGACAGCAAAACCACAAAACGUCAUCCUUCCAACAGAAAAUACGACUGGCAGCACCGGAGGAAACAUAUACCCUUCAGUCUAUGAAGAUACUUCCACCCAAGCUAUGGCGACGAAUUUUCAAAAUGCUACUUCCCCGCCUAAAGAGUCUUUUGGAGAUGCUCAAGGAAAUUCUGCAACCUGCUCUUCUGACUGUGAUGCUUUCCCGGCAUGGGCUACUGCCCUUCUGUGCAUGGCAACAGCUUUUAUAGUUUUCAUGCUGGUUGGACUCCUGUUUUUGGUAAGUAUUAGAAGGGGAGGAGCAUGUCAUGGAUAGAGUGGCAGACUAGGACUCCGAAAACCUGAGUCUGAAUUCCUGCUCAGCAAUGGAAAUUCUUGGAGGAGUGGAUAGCAUUGGUAAAACCACUCCUGAAAUAUCUCACAUACCUUCAAAAUCCUAUUAGGGUCUCUAUAGGUCAGAUGCAAUUUGAUGGCACAUAAUAUAAUAGAAGGGUCAGAGGUGAUCUGGGGCUAAAGUAGGAGAUGUAACAAAUACAGAUUAGUUUAAUUAUUCAAAAGCAGGGUCAGGGGCCAGAUCCAAAGCUGUCUGUUAGAUAUAGAGUCUGGGGAACUAGACUAGAACAGGGAAGUCAGGGGAAAAUGUCCCUGCCCUAUAGCCCAACACUGCAAAAUUCUAGUGAUUCUGGUCCCAUUAGUAGGUGAGUGCAUAGCACUCCCUGGUCUCCUCUGCCAAGCUGUAUUGACAGAUUAUCUCCUCCUGCUUCCUAGCAACUACAGACCAUUAGAAGUCUGUUGCUUCACCAUCUCCAUCCUUGAUUCCUGCGGUGGGCAAAGAGCCUAGUAGAAAGAAGGCCAAUCAAGAUGGAUCCAAGGGUCAAACGAGGUGUUGCAGGGAGCCCAGGUUUAAAAACAGGAGCUCCCUUAGGAUUCAUGUGUUUAUACUAGCAUGGCUAUCAGAUGUGCACAUUAGCUGGUUUUGCUUGAUGACUGCUCAUCAGGAGAUAAGCUGGGGCUCCAUUUGCAAGAUGGUUGUGUAAACAGGGUGGCUUUGGAGAUCAGUUCUUUGGAGGGAAAAUAUUUGAUCACCUUCUAACUCCUGAAGCAAGUGCCAUAAAGGACAGGAUAAAAAGGGGAACUCAAACAAGGGCCAUCCAUGAUAUCGAAGGAGGUUGUAGAAUAGAUCAACCAUUCUCAACGGGGGCCGUAUGAUUCCCCUGGAGGCCCUGGCACAUUUGAAGUGGGCCACAAACUGGAAACAGACU